UACCUACGGGAGGCAGCAGUGGGGGGUAUUGCACAAUGGGGGGAACCCUGAUGCAGCGACGCCGCGUGGGUGAAGAAGCGCCUCGGCGCGUAAAGCCCUGUCAGCAGGGAAGAAAAUGACGGUACCCGAAGAAAAAGCAUCGGCUAACUCCGUGCCAGCAGCCGCGGUAAUACGGAGGAUGCGAGCGUUAUCCGGAUUUAUUGGGUUUAAAGGGUGCGUAGGCGGAAGGUUAAGUCAGCGGUCAAAUGUCGGCGCUCAACACCGGCCUGCCGUUGAAACUGGUCUUCUUGAGUGAGCGAGAAGUA
rnacentral:rRNA from 1 species